ACUUCAGACCUCUAACAAUCACCGAUCUUUGACUAAUCAUUCUGAAGUAAUACAGCUUUAACUUAAAACAUGAAGAGCAAUGGUGUUGUCGCUGCUGAACAUGACAUCUCCCGCUGUUUUGUGUUUUUCCAGUCUACUUGUGCCCACUUCUUCCUCUAAAUAAAAAUUUGUCAGUGUGGCUCUCUGUAUGUCUAAUAAAAUGCAGCCAAUAACUACACGUGUCGGUAAUUAAUCAUGAUGUUACCUAAAAAAAGUAGUUAGUCCAUUAAAUCUCCACCGUGUGUGUCAAAUUGCUGAACAUGACGCCUGUCCAUCUGUACCUACAAAAUAGCUAGAACAUCGGUCAGUGAAAUUUAAGGAAGAUGGUGACGAGCUUCCUAGACUUGAGCUGCUGGGAGAUCCCACAGCUAGAGCUCAACGACUCCAGCAAGUCACUAUUCCGGAAUGUGAUUGCGUUCGAGCGGACGUACACGUACUUGAAUACUAUCUUUUAUGAUUCUGAAUCUUCACAGGAGAGGAUUAAUGACAUACAAACAAUUUAC
rnacentral:lncRNA from 1 species